rnacentral:rRNA from 1 species
GACGAACGCUGGCGGCGUGCUUAACACAUGCAAGUCGAACGGAAAGGCCUCUUUCGGGGGGUACUCGAGUGGCGAACGGGUGAGUAACACGUGAGUAACCUGCCCUUGACUUUGGGAUAACUUCAGGCAACUGGGGCUAAUACCGGAUAGGAGCUCCUGCUGCAUGGUGGGGGUUGGAAAGUUUCGGCGGUUGGGGAUGGAUUCGCGGCUUGUGAGCGUGUUGGUGGGGUAGUGGCUUACCAAGGCUUUAACGGGUAGCCGGCCUGAGGGGGUGACGGGCCACUUUGGGACUGGGAUGGGGCCCAAACUCCGAGGGGAGGCAGCAGUGGGAAUAUUGCACAAUGGGUGGAAGCCUGAUGCAGCAACGCCGUGUGCGGGAUGACGGCCUUCGGGUUGUAAACCGCUUUCGCUCAUGACGAAGCUUUGUGUGACGGUAGUGGGUAAAGAAGCACCGGCUAACUACGUG